AGGAAGCCACGGCUAACUACGGUGCCAGCAGCCGCGGUAAUACGUAGGUGGCGAGCGUUGUCCGGAAUUAUUGGGCGUAAAGAGCAUGUAGGCGGUCUUUGUAAGUCGGGCGUGAAAAUGCGGGGCUCAACCCCGUAUGGCGCUUGAAACUGCAAGGCUUGAGUGCAGGAGAGGAAAGGGGAAUUCCCAGUGUAGCGGUGAAAUGCGUAGAUAUUGGGAGGAACACCAGUGGCGAAGGCGCCUUUCUGGACUGUGUCUGACGCUGAGAUGCGAAAGCCAGGGUAGCGAACGGGAUUAGAUACCCCGGUAGUCCUGGCCGUAAACGAUGGGUACUAGGUGUAGGAGGUAUCGACCCCUUCUGUGCCGGAGUUAACGCAAUAAGUACCCCGCCUGGGGAGUACGGCCGCAAGGUUGAAACUCAAUG
rnacentral:rRNA from 1 species